rnacentral:misc_RNA from 1 species
AUUCAGUUUCAACCACGGCUGUUUGUGCUCGGUAUGUGACUCUCUCCUCCGAUUGUCUAUUGUUCUGAUUACUGUACCGCGAAACAUGGACAUCAAGAUAGCUAUACUUGUGGUUUUAUGUCUUCAUUGCACAGUGGCUGAUUACAAAAGAUACCGGGACUUCAUACUAAGUCAGGCCAACAAUGUAACACUCAACAGACUGUUUGCUGAACACGCCCAGAAAUACCGAACCUCGGCCAAUCAGGUACCCAACUUUCCUUGCUCUACGUACACCUUAAAACGAGGAGCGGUAACAGUUCAUAAUUUGGCCCCUGAAGACAUCAGUGUGGUGGCUGGCGUUGGCGAUUCUAUAACGGUGUGUACAGAAUACCGCAUCACCAAAGCUCUUCAUGCAUCCUCUUUUGAUACAUUUUAUAUAUUUUGAUAUAUAAAAUUUUAUAUAAAGUGAGAAAUGAAUUGAUCUUGACUUGACCUUACCUGACCCUGACUUGUCCUUGACCUGACCUUGACGGGUAGGUUACGAGUGUCUUGUUGAUGGUAUUUGAUUGGUUUCAGGCUGGCACGGGGAUACAGGCGAAGACCAUCAUCGGUCUCCUCACUGAGUACCGCGGACUCUCUUGGAGGUAAGCGUAUCAGAAGCCCAGGAGUAAGAUGGAAAUUAGAUGGUUCACUUAAUAUCAUAGUCCUUCUUCAACAACUUCAAAAUUUUACCAAAAGUGAGCUAGAUCAUCAAACUUUUUUGUCACCGCGCGGAGCCAGAUGUCUUCGAGUUGGCUAUUGCAAAAGAUGUUGUUAGUCGACACACCCGAAUUUUGAUAUAAAGUUCAGCAUGUACAAUUCGUAUUGUAAUAUUACUGAUCUCUUAAUUCUAACUUUAAUUAUUUUCUAAUUCAGUUGAAUUAUGCUGUGAAAUUUGAAAUAUUUUACAUAAUCUUUUUGCCCAUUACAUGUGUAUGUCAAAUAUAUGUACCUGCUAUUGUAAAAAUAUUAAUAAAUAUUGUUUAAACUUAAUUCUUUAAGCAUCGGCGGGGACGAAAAUGUAGAGGAUUACGUCACACUGGCCAGUAAGUUGGUAUAAUCUGACGGUCGAGUCAUACAAAAAAUGUGCAUGCUUUCGCCAAUCUUUGUUUUAUCCGCUGGUUACAACGUACAUUGUCUUGCAGAUAUCAUAAAGAAGUACAACCCUGACGUGAAGGGCUUCUCCCUCGGAAAGGGCGACGUAAACAGUGACAACGCCCACCUGAACGUCGCUAACCCAGGGGACCAGGCCAGGUCAGCGGGGGGUUAUUUGUCGUGAACUGUUUAUUGUUACCAAGCAAUAUGAGCUGCAAUAUUCAUGUCGGAAAUUCAAAUCACAGACCUUUUAAUGUAAUUCACCACUGAAUUGUCGUAAACUGUUGUGAUGCAUUACUCAUACUUCGUUACAUCGUUGUAGGGACAUGCCCGCUCAAGCCAAUUUGCUGGUGGAACGAAUGAAAACUGAACCUGGAGUAGAUUUUGAAAAUGACUGGAAACUCAUUACACUUUUCAUUGGCGGAAAUGACCUUUGUGACUACUGUGACGACAAGGAAACCUUUAGUACAGCUAACUUUAUCGCAUACGUGACGGAGGCUUUGGACAUACUUCACAAGAACAUUCCCAGAGCUUUUGUCAACGUUGUGGAGACGCUUAAUAUUGCAGACAUCAGUGUUUUAAACGAGGGCCUCAUCUGCGAUACAAUUCACUUUUUUCUUUGUCGUUGUGGAACUUUUCCGUCGGAGACGGAAAGAGAGGAAAUGCGGGCUGCCGUAAGGUCGUAUCAGCAAGGUGUUCGUGAUCUCGUCAGCUCGGGUAGGUACGACACAAGAGAUGAUUUCACGGUCGUUGCUCAACCUUUCUUCGAGGAUACAGAAAUUCCUAGAAUGGUAGGCAAUGUUUGUUUUGUAACAAAAUAGUUAUUUUAUAAAUUAGAGUAAAUUUUUUGUAACAAAGUUAUUGGUACAAUAUCAAACCAUGAAGAUGAUAUUUUAUUUUCAAGGUUCCAGAUGCUUUGGAAGCUAUUGGGUUUUUGAUGAUAAAGGAAACAGUAAAUUGAUAAAGUUUAAAAAAAUGUUUUUUUUAAGCCCGACACCAGUGAAGCAGAUCUGAGUUAUUUCGCCCCGGAUUGUUUCCAUUUGAGUGAGAAAGGCCACAAGGCGGCCGCAGAAGCUUUAUGGAACAACAUGGUUGAGCCAGUGGGACAGAAGCGGCUAAAGUGGACGCCCGAGGAGCCCGUGGAAUGCCCCUCCCAGGAUCAUCCUUAUUUCUACACCAGCAAGAACAGCGGGGAUUCGUCAAAACGUUCCAAGUCAGGGUUUGGUUCUUCGGCUUCCGACAGCACAGAGUCCGGGAAUACCGACACUUCCUCUUCACAAACAACUGGUCUCGUUAUAGGGGCGUGUGUAGCUGUGGUGGGCAUAGUCUGUGCCGCCAUCUUUGUUGUCAGAAGGAAAAACAAAAACAGGGGUCAGCCUCUACUACAAAAAAAUGACCAUGUCACUUAUACUAACCUUUAACCCAACAAUGAGAUUUGGUGAUUCCGAAGGUGCUUCAUAUCGGCUACCAAUGAUAUUAUAACAUUACUUUUUAACUUUUGUUUUUUAUUUACUCUACUCUGUCAACUUUAAUUGUCUUUGAUUUGUUAGAUACAUGUAUAUUAUAAGCAUAUCUGUGAUAUCUCCGAUUCCUUAUGGCGCAUGAUUUUUGUGCCAGUUUUAAAUACAAAACUAUUUUGCCUUAAUAUUACAGCACCGAACCUGCAGUUGUAAAUAUCGAUCCACAUUCCACCUACAAAUGUUUUUAAUCUGAACUAAGUUUUAAUAGUCUAUAAUUUCAGAUCAAGAAAUAUUGAUUUGACUACAACCUAGCUACACUUUAAUCUGUUAAUGGUUUUGUUUUCAACUGACUAUUUUAAUAUUGACGAGAAGUAUCAGUGCCUCAGCAUUAUAUACAGUAUGUACAUGUAUAUUAUUGUUAAACAUUGUAUCGGAAGUAUUGUUUGCAUAUGUACAUACAACAUGUAGAUUACAUUGAUCCAGGAACGUAUAUACUAAUACUAGUAUAUACGUCCCUGAUUGAUCCUAUCAUCAAUCGAUCGUUACAUAACUUUAAUUAUACCCGAUAUUUAUUUAUACACGUUAAUCAGGGAUGCACAUGUUUCAAUAGUUUAUCAUUUUGUAUUGAUAUGUUGUAUAUGUUGAUUUGAUUUCUUUUAUAACACAUGAUUAUAUAAUAAAACUUUUUCUGACUG